GAGUUUCAUCCUGGCUCAGGACGAACGCUGGCGGCGCGCCUAACACAUGCAAGUCGAACGAGCGAGAGAGAGCUUGCUUUCCCCAGCGAGUGGCGAACGGGUGAGUAACGCGUGAGGAACCUGCCUCAAAGAGGGGGGACAACAGUUGGAAACGACUGCUAAUACCGCAUAAGCCCACAGCUCGGCAUCGAGCAGAGGGAAAAGGAGUGAUCCGCUUUGAGAUGGCCUCGCGUCCGAUUAGCUAGUUGGUGAGGUAACGGCCCACCAAGGCGACGAUCGGUAGCCGGACUGAGAGGUUGAACGGCCACAUUGGACUGAGACACGGCCCAGACUCCUACGGGAGGCAGCAGUGGGGAAUAUUGCACAAUGGGGGAAACCCUGAUGCAGCGACGCCGCGUGGAGGAAGAAGGUCUUCGGAUUGUAAACUCCUGUUGUUGAGGAAGAUAAUGACGGUACUCAACAAGGAAGUGACGGCUAACUACGUGCCAGCAGCCGCGGUAAAACGUAGGUCACAAGCGUUGUCCGGAAUUACUGGGUGUAAAGGGAGCGCAGGCGGGAAAGCAAGUUGGAAGUGAAAUCCAUGGGCUCAACCCAUGAACUGCUUUCAAAACUGUUUUUCUUGAGUAGUGCAGAGGUAGGCGGAAUUCCCGGUGUAGCGGUGGAAUGCGUAGAUAUCGGGAGGAACACCAGUGGCGAAGGCGGGCUACUGGGCACCAACUGACGCUGAGGCUCGAAAGUGUGGGUAGCAAACAGGAUUAGAUACCCUGGUAGUCCACACUGUAAACGAUGAUUACUAGGUGUUGGAGGAUUGACCCCUUCAGUGCCGCAGUUAACACAAUAAGUAAUCCACCUGGGGAGUACGACCGCAAGGUUGAAACUCAAAGGAAUUGACGGGGGCCCGCACAAGCAGUGGAGUAUGUGGUUUAAUUCGACGCAACGCGAAGAACCUUACCAAGUCUUGACAUCCUGCGACGGUGCUGGAAACAGUACUUUCCUUCGGGACGCAGAGACAGGUGGUGCAUGGUUGUCGUCAGCUCGUGUCGUGAGAUGUUGAGUUAAGUCCCGCAACGAGCGCAACCCUUAUGGUCAGUUACUACGCAAGAGGACUCUGGCCAGACUGCCGUUGACAAAACGGAGGAAGGUGGGGAUGACGUCAAAUCAUCAUGCCCUUUAUGACUUGGGCUACACACGUACUACAAUGGCGUUAAACAAAGAGAAGCGAGACCGCGAGGUGGAGCAAAACUCAGAAACAACGUCCCAGUUCGGACUGCAGGCUGCAACUCGCCUGCACGAAGUCGGAAUUGCUAGUAAUCGCAGAUCAGCAUGCUGCGGUGAAUACGUUCCCGGGCCUUGUACACACCGCCCGUC
rnacentral:rRNA from 1 species